AUUGGAAAGCCGUCAACAAGUUUGAAGUUGAAGCCUAUAGUUGCAGAAAAUUCUAGCCUAAACAACGCAUGAACACUCAACUGGGGUAAUCCCCACUUGAAUAAUCGAGCCCAAUUCAUAAGAGCCUCAGUGUACAUUCGCCAGUGGCAGGCAAGAAAAAUCCAUAAUUAUUCCCCUCUAAACGAGGCAUACAAAAGGCAACCUUCUCUAUUACUAUGUUGCUUUGGGGUUCGGGUGACGGGUGUUGCACUACCAACAAAUUGCAAUCAAACCCUCCGGCAGAAUUCUAAUAGAACCCUAAGAUGCAUGAUUGAACACCCCAAUGUUACAAACGUUUCAAAAACUUUAACAUGAGAGGGAAAUUAUAGGUAUAAUGCAGUCAAAAUUUGUUGAAAACUCAAAUUGAAGACUCAGCACAUAAAGAGCACAGCAUGCCCAGCUGAUUCCCCCAAACACUCAUGGAUAAUCAGCGACUCUCAAUUGAUAUUAUUGUGCAAGGGCGCCACCACUGGCUGGUCAUCAUCCGUACCAAAAUAUCUAUCUCCGUCCAAAUUCUCCCAUGCCAGGAAUGACGCGAAAAUCUUCAUUCAAACCAAUUUCAAUCUCAGAUGUCACAAUCUUUAUUCUUGGGAACCUUUUGCAGACCACAUGCACUCCCUGAGGUGCAGAUAUCAGAUUAAGAAAUAUAAUGUUGAACUCAGGGACACCCUUGCUAAUCAGUAAAGAGAUAGCUUGAACAGCUGAGUUGCCUGUCCCUAGAAUGGGAUCCAAUAGCAACACGUGUCUCUUUGAGAUGUCUUGUGGUAAUUUCUCAUAGAUUAACUGCUGACCGUUGUCACCUUCUCUAUGAAUAAGAAUCUUCCCAAUCUUUAUACCUUUACAACAUGCUCGCAAAGCAUUUUCCAUACUCUCACCACUCCUAAUUACAGAGACACCACAUAACCUCUUACAGAAAUCCACACCAGUGUAUACGGACCCAGUGGGAGUGGUCACCUGCUUUUCUGUAAAUGGUAGAUGUCCCAGACCAUGUUCAACAACCAAGC
rnacentral:misc_RNA from 1 species